CCCCCAGCCCACUGAUAGCAACCAUCAUAAUGCCACACCCAGCUUCCGGCACCUUUCGCCACUCCGGCACAAACCGACACAGCUUUGCGAUCUCGCCAGCAUGCAGAGUCUGAUGUCUUCCCUAUAGAUGGUGAGACGCUUUGCGUUGAUUGGUGCUGCUGGACCACACUGGAGGUGCGAGUCCGCCGUGUAAUGGUUUAUGCCAUUACAAAGGAGCUGGCCUCUGUACUCAACUGGGCAGGGAAAAAAACCAAGGACCAGACAAAGCAAAAAGGGCAUUUAAAGAGACAGCGCUGUGCAGAUGCAUAUUUGAUGGCCUGGUGCAGCAGGUAGGG
ensembl:lncRNA